rnacentral:rRNA from 1 species
AUUGAACGCUGGCGGCAGGCUUAACACAUGCAAGUCGAGCGGGGGAAGGUAGCUUGCUACCGGACCUAGCGGCGGACGGGUGAGUAAUGCUUAGGAAUCUGCCUAUUAGUGGGGGACAACAUCUCGAACGGGAUGCUAAUACCGCAUACGUCCUACGGGAGAACGCAGGGGAACUUCGGACCUUCCGCUAAUAGAUGACCCUAAGUAGGAUUAGCUAGUUGGUGGGGUAAAGGCCUACCAAGGCGACGAGCUGUAGCGGGUCUGAGAGGACGAUCCGCCGCACUGGGACUGAGACACGGCCCAGACGCCUACGGGAGGCAGCGGUGGGAAAUAUUGGACAAUGGGGGGAACCCUGAUCCAGCCAUGCCGCGUGUGUGAAGAAGGCCUUAUGGUUGUAAAGCACUUUAAGCGAGGAGGAGGCUACUCUAGUUAAUACCUAGGGAUAGUGGACGUUACUCGCAGAAUAAGCACCGGCUAACUCUGUGCCAGCAGCCGCCGUAA